GGGGUACUCGAGCGGCGAACGGGUGAGUAACACGUGAGUAAUCUGCCCUCCACUCUGGGAUAACGUUCAGAAAUGGGUGCUAAUACCGGAUGUACACAGGCUGACGCAUGUUGGUGUGUGGAAAGGUUUUUCUGGUGGGGGAUGAGCUCGCGGCCUAUCAGCUUGUUGGUGGGCCGGAAAGGC
rnacentral:rRNA from 1 species